rnacentral:rRNA from 1 species
AACGAACGCUGGCGGCAGGCUUAACACAUGCAAGUCGAGCGCCCCGCAAGGGGAGCGGCAGACGGGUGAGUAACGCGUGGGAACGUACCUUUUGGUUCGGAACAACUCCGGGAAACUGGAGCUAAUACCGGAUAAGCCCUAACGGGGAAAGAUUUAUCGCCGAAAGAUCGGCCCGCGUCUGAUUAGCUAGUUGGUGAGGUAACGGCUCACCAAGGCGACGAUCGGUAGCUGGUCUGAGAGGAUGAUCAGCCACACUGGAACUGAGACACGGCCCAGACUCCUACGGGAGGCAGCAGUGGGGAAUAUUGGACAAUGGGCGCAAGCCUGAUCCAGCCAUGCCGCGUGAGUGAUGAAGGCCUUAGGGUUGUAAAGCUCUUUUGUCCGGGAAGAUAAUGACUGUACCGGAAGAAUAAGCCCCGGCUAACUUCGUG